AGGUGCCUACGGGGGGCAGCAGUCGGGAAUAUUGCACAAUGGAGGAAACUCUGAUGCAGUGACACCGCGUAUAGGAAGAAGGUUUUCGGAUUGUAAACUAUUUUAGACAGGGAAGAAAAAAGACAGUACCUGUAGAAUAAGCUCCGGCUAACUACGUGCCAGCAGCCGCGGUAAUACGGAGGGCGCGAGCGUUAAUCGGAAUUACUGGGCGUAAAGCGCGCGUAGGCUGUUGUGUAAGUUGGGGGUGAAAUCCCACGGCUCAACCGUGGAACAGCCCUUGAUACUGCGCGACUUGAAUCCGGGAG
rnacentral:rRNA from 1 species